rnacentral:rRNA from 1 species
GAUGAACGCUGGCGGCGUGCCUAAUACAUGUAAGUCGAGCGAACGGACGAGAAGCUUGCUUUUCUGAUGUUAGCGGCGGACGGGUGAGUAACACGUGGAUAACCUACCUAUAAGACUGGGAUAACUUCGGGAAACCGGAGCUAAUACCGGAUAAUAUCUUGAACCGCAUGGUUCAAUAGUGAAAGACGGUCUUGCUGUCACUUAUAGAUGGAUCCGCGCUGCAUUAGCUAGUUGGUAAGGUAACGGCUUACCAAGGCAACGAUGCAUAGCCGACCUGAGAGGGUGAUCGGCCACACUGGAACUGAGACACGGUCCAGACUCCUACGGGAGGCAGCAGUAGGGAAUCUUCCGCAAUGGGCGAAAGCCUGACGGAGCAACGCCGCGUGAGUGAUGAAGGUCUUCGGAUCGUAAAACUCUGUUAUUAGGGAAGAACAUAUGUGUAAGUAACUGUGCACAUCUUGACGGUACCUAAUCAGAAAGCCACGGCUAACUACGUG